rnacentral:misc_RNA from 1 species
GAUGAAGAACGCAGCGAAAUGCGAUAAGUAGUGUGAAUUGCAGAAUUCAGUGAAUCAUCGAAUCUUUGAACGCACAUUGCGCCCCUUGGUAUUCCAUGGGGCAUGCCUGUUCGAGCGUCAUUUGUACCUUCAAGCUCUGCUUGGUGUUGGGUGUUUGUCUCGCCUCUGCGUGUAGACUCGCCUCAAAACAAUUGGCAGCCGGCGUAUUGAUUUCGGAGCGCAGUACAUCUCGCGCUUUGCACUCAUAACGACGACGUCCAAAAGUACAUUUUUACACUCUUGACCUCGCAUCAGGUAGGGAUACCCGCUGAACUUAAGCAUAUCAAUAAGCGGAGGA